GUGAGGAAUAUUGCGCAAUGGAGGCAACUCUGACGCAGCCAUGCCGCGUGCAGGAAGAAGGCGCUACGCGUUGUAAACUGCUUUUAACCGGGAAGAAACCCCAGGACGUGUCCUGGGUUGACGGUACCGGAGGAAUAAGCACCGGCUAACUUCGUGCCAGCAGCCGCGGUAAUACGAAGGGUGCAAGCGUUAUCCGGAUUCAUUGGGUUUAAAGGGUGCGUAGGCGGAGCGUUAAGUAAGUGGUGAAAUCCUGCAGCUUAACUGUAGACUUGCCAUUGAUACUGGCGCUCUUGAGUGCGCUUGAAGUGGGCGGAAUGUGCCGUGUAGCGGUGAAAUGCUUAGAUAUGGCACAGAACACCAAUUGCGAAGGCAGCUCACUAAGGCGAUACUGACGCUGAGGCACGAAAGCAUGGGGAUCGAACAGGAUUAGAAACCCUAGUAGUCC
rnacentral:rRNA from 1 species